rnacentral:rRNA from 1 species
AUUGAACGCUGGCGGCAGGCCUAACACAUGCAAGUCGAGCGGGCCGCGGACGGGAGGGUAAUGUAUGGGCAUCUGCCUGAUGGAGGGGGAUCACUACUGGAAACGAUAGCUAAUACCGCCUACAAUACGCUGAGCCCAGAUGGGAUUAGGUAGUAGGUGGGGUAAAGGCUUACCUAGGCGACGAUCCCUAGCUGGUCUGAGAGGAUGACAAGCCACACUGGAACUGAGACACGGUCCAGACUCCUACGGGAGGCAGCAGUGGGGAAUAUUGGACAAUGGGCGAAAGCCUGAUGCAGCCAUGCCGCGGGUAUGAAGAAGGCCUUCGGGUUGUAAAGUACUUUCAGUGAGGAGGCGUUACUCGCAGAAGAAGCACCGGCUAACUCCGUGCCAGCAGCCGCGGUAAUUC